AAGUUUCAAAAAGUCGGGCUCAGUGAUCAAUUAAUUUAAACAACAGACCGCCAAAAUUUAACCUUGGCCUCCAUGUUGCAACGUCUGCUCUGUCUAAAGGAGGAAGUUUGUUGACCAGACAGCCUGAGAUCGUAUUGCUGUAUCAACCAAAAGGUGCAGAUACACGUAUUUCAUAUGCGGUAGUGUCUGUGCAUGUAUGAGGAGGAGAUUUCUGAAAGUGGUUAUUCAACUUACUGCGAUUUUAACAGGCUUAAAGCUUGGUCCAUGGAUGGUUAUGUUUGAGGAUUUGCCAAUUCGACCGCAAGUGCUGCUGCAAGAAAUUAAACAUGCAGUGACCUUACAAAUUACAAAGAAGUCUGAAGAAAAUUUUAUUGGACAGAUGGGUGUAAAGCACAGACCUGAGAUAUAAAUUGAAUUGUGAGAAAUAUGAAUCAGGGAUGCAGGUAGAAAAUGGCAAAUGUGAUCCAGAUUGAUAAAAAAUGUCUAAAUUUUUUUCUUGUUUUGUAAAUAUUCAAUGCUUAGCCUAUGUCAGUUGUUAUUUUUUCCCCAAUAUCUAAUAGUGUUGAACAUUUCACUCCCACUUUUGCAUAAAUAGAAUGAAUAGAUUUCCAUUUAUUUAAUAUGAAUAUUAAAAAAUGCCACAUUUUUUCCAUGAUGAACUUGUGGCUUAAAUAAGAGUUCCAGCUUUUUUCCAUACAUGCUCCUAUUUGUUUGUCAAAGAUAUAAGAUCCAAUACAUUGCUCAUGAACAUAAUGUGUAAUUUUGUUCAUUCAUUAAUAUGUUUUUUUCUCAAAAUGAUAUAAUAAAUUGUAUAUAAUUUUGCACAUUGUUGAUGGUUUUGUAAAUAUUUAUGUAUGUAUGCAUCAUGUAGUGGUUUUAAGCCAUUUUAUAACCAUGUGAUUAACUCUGUAUUUUCUCCAGAUUUCCGUAUUUCCGCAUUUUAUCAACCAAGUAAAUACCUCCAUAUUUUGUAUAUAUGGAAAUGCGGAAAUGGAGAGAAUACGGAAAAAGAGUCCAAAUACUCCCAUCCACAUUUUCUCCAUAUUUUGAAUACGGAGAAAAUCUGGAAAUUUGAAUCUACGAAAAUCUGGAAUGAAUGCGGAAAAUUAGUCCAAAUACUCCCGUCCGCAUUUUCUCCUUAUUUUGAAUAUGGAAAAAAUGUGGAGA